GGAGGGUUGCCCGAGUCCGGUAAGGGACGCGCCCGCUAAGCGCAGGUCGGGUUCUGCCCGCGGAGGUUCGAAUCCUCCACCCUCCG
rnacentral:tRNA from 2 species